GAGUGAUGAAAGACUUCAUUUAUCUUUGUUAUGUAAAGCUUCAAAUAAAAAUCUUUGUUCACAGAAAUGGGUGGUACAAACUAUCUGUGAUAGGGCUAUAGCUGGAAAAGUUCAUGAGAACCAUUAUUUCUACUACUGGUUGCCUCCCCACCUUGAAACUUCACUGAAUCCAUUCCAAGCAGGAGAUAAGGUGCUUCUGAAGGUGUGGAAGGAAAAAGGACCAGAACAACAACUUGAAGAAAAGUUGAAAGGAUCCUAGGAUGUGUUAUUAACCACCCAUACAUCCUUUAAGUUGACAGAUAUAAGACUGUGGGUGCACCACACUAGAGUAAAGAAGUGCCAGACGAUUUCUAGUCACAGGCACCUUCUCCUGAUAAGUGGGAAAGCAGACCAUUGGAGGGUUUUAAGCUGCUCUUCAAAAAACAGCCAUGAGAUACAUCACAUUGCUAAUUCAUCUGUAUUCCUUACAUUUUCCAGUUAUUGCCUGACUGGACAACUCCCAACUCCCUGGUAUGCAUUGCACAAACCAUUGCUAAUGCAAUGCAAGAUGUGGACUGCUGGAUUUGUCUUCCUUGAGCUCAGUCCACUCCGGGUCAUGGGGACCCCCUGGUGCAUCCUGUAUCAGACUUUACCCAAGUCCCUGAUGGGGACUGGGUCCCUAAGUGAGACCUUCGGGCUCGCAACCUUAUGUACCACAUAUGCAUCAGUCACUUCCCUCAUGAGAACUUUUCUAAAAUUGCCUGUCUUAUGCUUCCUCUCUCCACCAGUACUGUUCUAUAUUGGAUCCAGGGCACCCAGUAGAUACCUGAAUACUUUGAAAUGACUUUGCCUCCACCCUCAAGGCAACUCCCUAUGUGUGUUCAGCAGUCCACCAGAUACCCAGUGGAAGAAAUUAAAUCCAUGGUUGACUAUUCAUUUCUGGAGAGAUCCUGGAUGGAAUGAACUGGAUUCAAAGUUGGUUACUAUUUCUAGACUAAUAGCUCUGUCAGCUACUACACUCACAAUGAAGGUGAAAGACUUAAGAGUAACCCCAGUUCCUGGAAGUCUGGAUAUACAACUAAGGGGUAGAGUUCUUGUGUCCUGCAGCUGGCUGGCAAUAAAGAAGAAAAACCUCUGCAUCAGCAGAAAAGCUUCCUGGCACCAGAAUCCACUAUCCACCAGGGAGGAAGACAAUCAAGGACAUCUAACCUGUGGAUUCCCUUAUGUCACCAUCCUCCUCCCUGCAAACAGUCUCACAAAGCCAAACGCAGGCUGGUGGGAAAGCGCCGACCAGCAAGGCCACAGGCUCCCCCUCCCUAUAAGCAGCCAUAUUCCUCACAACCUUUAAAACCCCUUAUCCACUUCUUAAUGGGGUGCCAGCAGUUCCUAAGGCACUAUCCUGCUGCUGCUCCCUUUGCCUAGCAAAAAAAAAAGUAAGCUUUUUUUUCUUUUCAUUUUCACCCAAAACUCUGUUCUCGUUAUUUGGAUUGGUACUGAGUUCAGAGACCGAACUUUCGGUAACAUAACUAGAAAGCUCAGGAGAAGCAUAAGUCCUGUAGAGGAUAACAGCACUAUAAUUACAAUUUUCAUUGGAGACCUGAUCUAGCUAUUUCAUUCUAAACUUCUGAUUCCAACUAGAAGAUAAAUCUUAAGUGGGCAAUAGAAACUUCUGGGCCAUACAUGAUGUCAUUCACUUCUCCAAAUAUAGGACUUUUAUAGGAAAUGCUUUCAUAUCACAUUUCUGGUCCUCUAAUACCUUAGAUCAGCCUCUCUAGAAUCAUGCUCUGUGAUGGGGAUUCUCCUUCAAGUGUUUUAUAAAGAUGAUGCUCUGAAAGAAAAGUGUUAGGGAAGAAAGGAAGUAGGACAGGGAGGGAAAAGAGCUAAGGAAGAAUGUGUUUUUGCUAGAAUGUAAUGUGAACCCAUCCACACAGGUAUUUCUGGAACACGAAUUUUACCAUUGAGUAAAUUUUAUGAUCAGACAAGAAGAAUGCCCUUUUGUUAGCCCUGCUCAGCAUCCCAGUAUCAAUCAGUCAUUGACUGUAGGCUGUUUUAGUGAGCAAUUGUUGGAGGGACGGAGGAGAAGGAUUAUAAAAUCAUCUAGCCUUGAAUGCUUACUCAAGUUGAUCCAAGGACAAUUCUCAAGAGUGCAGCUGUGACCCAGCAGCAGCCUACCAUCAUGUCAGAUUAAAUGAAGAGGGGUAUAGCCAGCUAGGGGGAUGGGUGCACCAGGCCACUAAAGGAAAUCUGGGACAGAGUCUCCUAUACUAAAUAAAUAUGGCAUGAUAUUCCUGUUAUGCUUAGCCACUUUUAAAGAGGAAACAAAAAUAAUAAAGGAAAAGAAAGAGCAUAUGAGUCCUGAAUGUGAUAAGAGCCCAAUUAAACUUGCAAGUACUUAAGUAAUUGGGCCCAUUUUCUCAGGAUUAUUUCAAAUUACCCAUCCUCUUUAGGAGGUCAUUUGAAGUAGGUUAAACAACUCAUCACUAUUCCCUGCGACUAGCUAGAUUUCUAAUACAAUAAUUGAGAGAUUAUAUUUCUUUUUUUAAUUGAGAAAUAAUUGACACAUAACAUUAUACCAUUUUCAUGUGUACAACAUAAUGAUUCUAUAUAUGAGGUUAUAUUUGAUGUUGACUAUAAAACAGAAAGAAUCCUCUUCUAUACAUCCAGAUGAAUGC
rnacentral:lncRNA from 1 species